GGCGCUGUAGCCAAGUGGUUAAGGCGAUUGAUUAGAAUUAGGUGAACAUAUCGAAAGAAUCAUCAAUUCCACUUUGUGGGUGCAGGUUCGAGUCCUGCCGGCGUCG
rfam:Fistulina hepatica ATCC 64428 unplaced genomic scaffold FISHEscaffold_24, whole genome shotgun sequence.